rnacentral:rRNA from 1 species
UACGUAGGGGGCUAGCGUUGUCCGGAAUCAUUGGGCGUAAAGAGCGUGUAGGCGGUCCGGUAAGUCCGCUGUGAAAGUCGGGGGCUCAACCCUCGAAUGCCGGUGGAUACUGUCGGGCUAGAGUGCGGAAGAGGCGAGUGGAAUUCCUGGUGUAGUGGUGAAAUGCGUAGAGAUCAGGAAGAAUACCUGUGGCGCAAGCGCCCACCUGGCCGAGACCUGACGCUGAGGCACGAAAGCGUGGGGAGCGAACCGG